UGUCGCACUAUAAACUUUGUCGCCCAAGGGGUAGUGGUAGUUACAUGAUGACACCCCUAUAACUUUGUGAGAAAUCACAAGGAUUUGGACUCUGGGGGAAGUAUGGUCGCAAGGCUGAAACUUAAAGGAAUUGACGGAAGGGCACCACCAGGAGUGGAACCUGCGGCUUAAUUUGACUCAACACGGGGAAACUUACCAGGUCCAGACACAGUGAGGAUUGACAGAUUGAUAGCUCUUUCUUGAUUUUGUGGAAAGUGGUGCAUGGCCGUUUUUAGUUGGUGGAUUGAUUUGUCUGGUUAAUUCCGUUAACGAACGAGACCUAAACCUACUAACUAGUUAAUGGUAACUUGGACUCCAUAAUAAAUUUUCAUAUGGAGACCUCGAAAUUUAUCCAAACUUCUUAGAGGGACUCUUUAUACUUAGUGAAUGGAAGUUUUAGGC
rnacentral:rRNA from 1 species